GAAGCCAUAUAUAAUUCAGAUAUGAUAAUCUCAGAAUUGACAAAACAGAAAAAAGGAAAUAAUUAUAUAUAUAUAAUGUGAUAGAGAAAUAAUAAGUGUGUAUAAAAGGUUAUAUGCAAUAAGACUUUUUAAGAUAUGUUAUUAGAUACAUAAUAUUGUUAUGCACAGAAAACAGCAUAUAUGGAAUGUGUAUCGAAAUAUAAAAAGUUCAUAAAGAAAUUAUAUUGUUAAAUAUAGAAUCACACAAUAUGAUAUUGAAGAAAAACAGAAUGUUAUAGGUAAUACACAUAAGCAAUAUAAAUGAAUUGAAGAAAAACAACAUAAUUUUGGAAAAUGAGAGAAGAGUGUGUGUAUAUUUAGAAAAUUUAUUAUAUUCUAAACCCCAAGAAUAUUAUUGGAAAUUCUAAAUAUAUAUGUAUAUAUUUAUAUAAG